UACGUAGGGUGCGAGCGUUGUCCGGAAUUACUGGGCGUAAAGAGCUCGUAGGCGGUUUGUCGCGUCUGCUGUGAAAUCCCGAGGCUCAACCUCGGGCCUGCAGUGGGUACGGGCAGACUAGAGUGUGGUAGGGGAGACUGGAAUUCCUGGUGUAGCGGUGAAAUGCGCAGAUAUCAGGAGGAACACCGGUGGCGAAGGCGGAUCUCUGGGCCAUUACUGACGCUGGAGGAGCGAAAGCGUGGGGAGCGAACAGG
rnacentral:rRNA from 1 species